rnacentral:tmRNA from 1 species
GGGGGCGAACUGGUUUCGACUCAGUUAAUCGAGGCCAGGGUGGCAUGCAGAGGACGCGGUUGGCCUCUUAAAAAAACCGUAAAAAAACAAUUGGCGAAGAAGAAAAUUCUUACGCUUUAGCUGCCUAAUAAAAUAGACAGCGGGGACCGACUGAUUUGUCCGUGAUCAGUUGAAUCCUACACAGAUACGGGCUAGAUUCCGGCAGGCCGAUGGGUCGGUAUCGAAACUCAAAAGUCGACUUGGGGUGGCGAAAUCCUGUUUUCGGGAGCUCGGCGCUCGAGAUUUAAAUCGAAGACUAAGCAUGUAGAGGCUCUGACUGAGGUGCUGUAGGACCCGGGUUCAACUCCCGGCGCCUCCACUU